rnacentral:rRNA from 1 species
GAUGAACGCUAGCGGCAGGCCUAAUACAUGCAAGACGAACGGUAAGUUGAGUAGCAAUACUUAGCCAAGAGUGUCGUACGGGUGCGUAACACGUAUGCAACCUACCCUAUACAGGAGGAUAGCCUAGGGAAACCUGGAUUAAACCCUUCAUAGUAUUAUUGGAUGGCAUCAUUUGAUAAUUAAAACUGAGGUGGUAUAGGAUGGGCAUGCGUCUGAUUAGUUAGUUGGCGGGGUAAUGGCCCACCAAGACGAUGAUCAGUAGGGGUUCUGAGAGGAAGAUCCCCCACACUGGCACUGAGAUACGGGCCAGACUCCUACGGGAGCAGCAGUAGGGAAUAUUGGUCAAUGGAUGCAAGUCUGAACCAGCCAUGCCGCGUGCAGGAAGAAGGCCUUCUGGGUUGUAAACUGCUUUUGCCAGGGGAUAAAAUUUCCAUGCGUGGAAAACUGAAGGUACCUGGUGAAUAAGCCACGGCUAACUACGUGCCAGCAGCCGCGGUAAU